UUUCUUUGAUUCCACUUUUUUUAGUUGGUCCGGUUUAUUUGGUCGUUUCAGUGAGUGCCAUCUUCACAUCUCCUUUAGUCCUUUUCCCUUUUCUAUGUCAGUGGAGAGAGAGUUGGGAAUCAUGGGUGGUGGUGGUGGUGGCUCUCCCACGCCGGACGGCCGGAGGGUCUGGUUCCGCCGCGACGGGGAGUUGAAUCGGUGAAGGUCACCGGAGCGAGGAGCCAGGAGUAGUCCGCGCGUCUCCCCGUGUUUUUGUCGCUUGCUGGGUACGGGAGGCAUGGGUUUGCGUGGAGGUCGAGGAGCUGGGUUUCUCCAUGCCGGAGCUUCCAGAGAGAUGGAUCAAGAUAAAUAAGAGAGGCUACAUACUUGAUCAAGACAGAUGCAGAGAAGAGGUGGACAAAAGUUUGCCCAUUUGUUACCGCCUUCUUCAUUUUUGUUGUAGGUUUACUCUUUCCCCUCCAUCGCGUCUUUGCAUGAGGAGGAAGAAGAAAGAAUGUUGACGUGAAGGCAGUUAUAGAACAGGUCACGAAAUAGAAGUCCCAGCUUUUCUGUUCGUGUGUAAGACUCAUAAAUAGCCAGAUGUAGCAAACUAGCAAGAACGGAGCAGUUUAGUCUUGUCAACAUUACCAGGGCGCGAAAGGAGGCUGAAUUGAUUGGGAGCUGGGCUAGUUGCGGUUAAAAAACCAGCAAAAAAAACCGGACUCAAUAAUAAUGAACAAAUUGAUAUUUUGCGCUUCCAAA